rnacentral:misc_RNA from 1 species
AACGCACAUUGCGCCCUUUGGUAUUCCAAAGGGCAUGCCUGUUUGAGCGUCAUUUCUCCCUCAAACCCCCGGGUUUGGUGUUGAGCAAUACGCUAGGUUUGUUUGAAAGAAUUUAACGUGGAAACUUAUUUUAAGCGACUUAGGUUUAUCCAAAAACGCUUAUUUUGCUAGUGGCCACCACAAUUUAUUUCAUAACUUUGACCUCAAAUCAGGUAGGACUACCCGCUGAACUUAA